GGGUCAGUAGGUUGGUCGUGCCACCGGUACGUACUGGCCUCACUGAUUCCUCCUUCCUGAAGAACCGUAAUGCCAUUAAUUUGGUGUUGCGGGGAAACAGGACUGUUACUUUGAAAAAAUUAGAGUGUUUAAAGCAAGCUAACGCUUGAAUACAUUAGCAUGGAAUAAUGGAAUAGGACGAUCGAUCCCAUUUUGUUGGUUUCUAGGAUUGACGUA
rnacentral:rRNA from 1 species